ensembl:lncRNA
GACGGAUGAGGAGUUCUACAGGCAGCUGGCAGAAGCCACGAAAUCGUCAGCGCUUGUUCUCGUGGGGGACUUCAACUUCCCAGACAUACCCUGAAAGCACAACACAGCCAAGAGAAAGCAGUCUAGGAGGUUUCUGGAGAGCGUGGAAGAUAGCUUCCUGACGCAGCUGGUUAGAGAGCCUACCAGGGGAGGUGCCCCACUAGACCUUCUGUUCACAAACAGUGACGGACUGGUGGGAGAUGUGGUGGUUGGGAGCUGUCUUGGGCAGAGUGACCACGAAAUGGUUCAGUUCUCUAUUCUUGGCGAAGUCAGGAAGGGGACGAGUAAAACCGCUGUCUUGGACUUCCAGAGGGCUGACUUUGAGCUGUUCAGGACACUAGUUGGCAGAGUCCCUUGGGAGGAGGUUCUGAAGGGCAAAGGAGUCCAGGAAGGUUGGGCACUCUUCAGGAAGGAAAUCUUAAUGGCUCAGGAGCGGUCUGUCCCCACGUGCCCAAAGACGAGCCGACACGGAACUAGACCGGCCUGGCUGAACAGAGAGUUGUGGCUCGAGCUUAGGAGAAAAAAGAGGGUUUAUAAUCUUUGGAAAAGAGGGUGGGCUACCCAAGAGGACUUUAAGGUUGUUGCGAGGCUGUGCAGGGACAAAAUUAGAAAGGCCAAAGCUCAUCUGGAGCUCAAUCUGGCUACUGCCGUUAAAGAUAACAAAAAACGUUUUUACAAAUAUAUCAACACAAAAAGGAGGACUAAGGAGAAUCUCCAUCCUUUACUGGAUGCGGGGGGAAACUUAGUUACAAAAGAUGAGGAAAAGGCUGAGGUGCUCAAUGCCUUCUUUGCCUCAGUCUUUAGCGCCAAGACCAGUUGUUCUCUGGAUACCCAGUACCCUGAGCUGGUGGAAGGGGAUGGGGAACAGGAUGUGGCCCUCACUAUCCAUGAGGAAAUGGUUGAUGACCUGCUACAGCACUUGGAUGUACGCAAGUCGAUGGGGCCGGAUAGGAUCCACCCGAGGGUACUGAAAGAACUGGCGGAGGAGCUGGCCAAGCCGCUUUCCAUCAUUUAUCGGCAGUCCUGGCUAUCAGGGGAGGUCCCAGUCGACUGGCGGCUAGCAAACGUGACGCCCAUCUACAAGAAGGGCCAGAGGGUAGACCCGGGGAACUAUAGGCCUGUUAGCUUAACCUCAGUGCCAGGGAAGCUCAUGGAGCAGAUUAUCUUGAGUGUCAUCACACGGCACUUGCAGGGCAACCAGGCAAUCAGG